rnacentral:rRNA from 1 species
GACGAACUUUGGCGGCGUGCUUAACACAUGCAAGUCGGACGGUAAGGCUCCAGCUUGCUGGGGUACACGAGUGGCGAACGGGUGAGUAACACGUGGGUGACCUGCCCUGCACUUCGGGAUAAGCCUGGGAAACUGGGUCUAAUACCGGAUAGGACCGCACCGUGAGGGUGUGGUGGAAAGUUUUUUCGGUGUGGGAUGGGCCCGCGGCCUAUCAGCUUGUUGGUGGGGUAAUGGCCUACCAAGGCGGCGACGGGUAGCCGGCCUGAGAGGGUGGACGGCCACAUUGGGACUGAGACACGGCCCAGACUCCUACGGGAGGCAGCAGUGGGGAAUAUUGCACAAUGGGCGGAAGCCUGAUGCAGCGACGCCGCGUGGGGGAUGACGGCCUUCGGGUUGUAAACUCCUUUCACCAUCGACGAAGGGUUUCUGACGGUAGAUGGAGAAGAAGCACCGGCUAACUACGUGCCAGCAGCCGCGGUAAUACGUAGGGUGCGAGCGUUGUCCGGAAUUACUGGGCGUAAAGAGCUCGUAGGUGGUUUGUCGCGUCGUCUGUGAAAUUCCGGGGCUUAACUCCGGGCGUGCAGGCGAUACGGGCAUAACUUGAGUACUGUAGGGGAGACUGGAAUUCCUGGUGUAGCGGUGAAAUGCGCAGAUAUCAGGAGGAACACCGGUGGCGAAGGCGGGUCUCUGGGCAGUAACUGACGCUGAGGAGCGAAAGCAUGGGGAGCGAACAGGAUUAGAUACCCUGGUAGUCCAUGCCGUAAACGGUGGGCGCUAGGUGUGGGUUUCCUUCCACGGGAUCCGUGCCGUAGCUAACGCAUUAAGCGCCCCGCCUGGGGAGUACGGCCGCAAGGCUAAAACUCAAAGGAAUUGACGGGGGCCCGCACAAGCGGCGGAGCAUGUGGAUUAAUUCGAUGCAACGCGAAGAACCUUACCUGGGCUUGACAUAUACAGGAUCGCGCCAGAGAUGGUGUUUCCCUUGUGGCUUGUAUACAGGUGGUGCAUGGUUGUCGUCAGCUCGUGUCGUGAGAUGUUGGGUUAAGUCCCGCAACGAGCGCAACCCUUGUCUUAUGUUGCCAGCACGUUGUGGUGGGGACUCGUAAGAAACUGCCGGGGUUAACUCGGAGGAAGGUGGGGAUGACGUCAAAUCAUCAUGCCCCUUAUGUCCAGGGCUUCACACAUGCUACAAUGGUCGGUACAGUGGGUUGCCAGUCCGUGAGGGCGAGCUAAUCCCGCAAAGCCGGUCUCAGUUCGGAUCGGGGUCUGCAACUCGACCCCGUGAAGUCGGAGUCGCUAGUAAUCGCAGAUCAGCAACGCUGCGGUGAAUACGUUCCCGGGCCU